AUUACGGGGUGCAGCAGGCGCGAAAACUCCGCAAUGCGCGAAAGCGUGACGGGGCUACCCCGAGUGCCGUCCGCUGAGGAUGGCUUUUCCCCGGUGUAAUGAGCCGGGAGAAUAAGGAGAGGGCAAGUCUGGUGUCAGCCGCCGCGGUAAUACCAGCUCUCCGAGUGGUAGGGAUGAUUAUUGGGCUUAAAGCGUCCGUAGCCGGCUUAGCAAGUCUCCUGUCAAAUUCAGCGACUCAAUCGUUGAGCCGCGGGAGAUACUACUAGGCUAGGAGGCGGGAGAGGCCGACGGUAUUCUCGGGGUAGGGGUGAAAUCCUAUAAUCCCGGGAGGACCACCAGUGGCGAAGGCUGUCGGCUAGCACGCGCUCGACGGUGAGGGACGAAAGCUGGGGGAGCAAACCGGAUUAGAUACCCGGGUAGUCCCAGCUGUAAACGACGCGGGCUAGGUGUUGGGGUGGCUACGAGCCACUUCAGUGCCGCAGGGAAGCCGUUAAGCCCGCCGCCUGGGGAGUACGGCCGCAAGGCUGAAACUUAAAGGAAUUGGCGGGGGAGCACAAU
rnacentral:rRNA from 1 species